rnacentral:rRNA from 1 species
GAUGAACGCUAGCGGCAGGCCUAAUACAUGCAAGUCGAACGGUGUAGCAAUACACAGUGGCGCACGGGUGCGUAACACGUAUGCAACCUACCUAUUAUUGGGGGAUAGCCUUUGGAAACGGAGAUUAAUACCGCAUAAGACAGUGACAUGGCAUCAUGUAGUUGUUAAAGCUUUGGCGAUAAUAGAUGGGCAUGCGUCCAAUUAGUUAGUUGGUGAGGUAAUGGCUCACCAAGACGAUGAUUGGUAGGGGAUCUGAGAGGAUAAUCCCCCACACUGGCACUGAGAUACGGGCCAGACUCCUACGGGAGGCAGCAGUAGGGAAUAUUGGGCAAUGGACGGAAGUCUGACCCAGCCAUGCCGCGUGCAGGAUGACGGCGUUAUGCGUUGUAAACUGCUUUUUUAUAGGAAGAAGAAGCCCUUGCGAGGGAAAGUGACGGUACUAUAAGAAUAAGCACCGGCUAACUCCGUGCCAGCCGCCGCCGUAAAAC